CGACCGGCGCACGGGUGAGUAACGCGUAUGCAACCUGCCCGUUUCAGCGGGAUAACCCGGAGAAAUCCGGCCUAAUACCGCAUGUGGCCGAGGGGAGGCAUCUUCUUUCGGCCAAAGGAGGCGACUCCGGAGACGGAUGGGCAUGCGUGACAUUAGCUAGUUGGCGGGGUAACGGCCCACCAAGGCGACGAUGUCUAGGGGUUCUGAGAGGAAGGUCCCCCACACUGGUACUGAGACACGGACCAGACUCCUACGGAAGGCAGCAG
rnacentral:rRNA from 1 species